rnacentral:lncRNA from 1 species
ACUGCUGCCCUUCGCCGCCGCCCCCGGCAGUGCUCGCUCUCUCUAGGCCCCAUGUAAAUCGCUGUGUUUGCUGGGGAGCCCUUAGUUCAAUUCUCAGGGGAUUAGGGCCAUUGAGAUUCUUAAUCAAUUGCUGGGUUCCACGCGAUCCUCUUUAGAAACUUUUUGCUUAAUAUGCAUCUAGAGACAUGCACGGCCCGCCUGCAGCGCUGGAGCCGAUGGAGUGGAGCCUGGGAGGCUGCAGGCGACCCCCAGGCUUCUAAACAGCAACGUCAGUUUAAUUAUUGCAGAUCCGUCACAGCUGCCAAGUCCUCUCUGUCUUCGUUGUUGUUAACGGGGAAACUUGCCGCCCGGUGGCUUUGCUUCAGGCGGAAGUCCGCGUGCUUUGAUACCCUCAGGGGGCACUUACAGGCUAGGUGGACACAGGUGGGCUGCGGGACUCCGCGAAUUUACCUUCCAGGGGAAUGCACUGCACACAUGCUGCACACAGGAGACAGGGAAGCCUGGCGAGGUUGGGUUUUCAGGCGCCACUGUAUACACUCUCAGUUCCACUGAUACCCUUUCUUUCUUCUACCCGCUUUCAGGCGCCACUGUAUACACUCUCAGUUCCACUGAUACCCUUUCUUUCUUCUACCCGCUUUCAGGCGCCACUGUAUACACUCUCAGUUCCACUGAUACCCUUUCUUUCUUCUACCCGCUUUCAGGCGCCACUGUAUACACUCUCAGUUCCACUGAUACCCUUUCUUUCUUCUACCCGGAGGCCCUGGUAGUUGGCUCUCGCCAGACAAUGUAAACUGGCACUACAAGUGGAAUAGACCAGACGUUUAUUUUCUGGUAAGUCAGGCCUCUGUCCUGCCUGCACCUUUGGCCUGAUUUUGAUUAACGUUGUCAGAAGCGGAUGCCAUGUGUGGGGGUGCUGGCUAAACUUUCUGGAAGUGUCAAUUGUAAACAGUGUUACCUUACAUUUUGGGCAGCACUUUUGAGUUUCCAAAACAUGUUCCCAUGCAUUAUCUCAUUGGGUUUCCUCAGUAGAUUGGAAGAAUGUGGAGGAACUUGCACCCUCUUUCACAGUGAAAAAAACCCUGAAGCUCAGAGCAGUAUAGUAUCUUCGCCAGAAUUGCAGGACUAGAAAGUGAAAGAACAAGAAACCAGGUCUUCUGGUCCUUAGUCUGGAGACUUUUGGCAGUCACAUAUACUUUUUUAUUAUCUCACUAAUAACUCUUGAUAAUCUUGUUGGAUAACAGAACAGUUUGUUCAUCCGUGUCGUGUUCUCUCAUUGCAUUAAGGAAGUGAUGAGGGAGCUGAUUUCUCAAUUGUUUUUUAGAGCUAUAAUGCCUUGAAAAUCAUUCCCUUAUCCUGGCUAUCAGUAAUUUGCCAUCUCCUAAUAUGUAGUAAAAAUAGUAAACGUAAAAACUAGCUGCCAAGCUAAUGCCACAAACAUCAAGUAGGAACUGGGUUGGAUUCAGUAACAUCGGUCCAGAGAGAGCACUGCUCCUCAAGAUGGGUGCAACAUCAAGGACUUAGGGAUCAGGAAUGUGCACGGCUCUCCAAAUGGUUUUCAACCAAGGUGAUGCUGCAUUUCCUCUAGUAAUUUCAUAAUUAAAAACUUAGUGAUUAUCAGAAAUUUAGUUUUUGCUUUCUUUUUUGUUUGUUUUGGUUUUUGAGACAGGGUCUCACUCUGUUGCCCAGGCUGGAGUGCAGUGACACAAUCAUAGCUCACUGUAGCCUUGAACUCCUGGAUUCAUGCCUCAGCCCCCCAAGUAGCUGAGACUACAGGCAGGCACCACCAUACCUAGGUAAUUUUUGUAUUUUUUGUAGAAACGGGGUUUUGACAUGUUUGUCAGACUAGUCUCGACCUCCUGGGCUCAAGCGAACUGCCAGC